AGAGUUUGAUCAUGGCUCAGAUUGAACGCUGGCGGCAUGCUUUACACAUGCAAGUCGAACGCGGUCGGGGGGCAACUCCUGACUGAGUGGCGAACGGGUGAGUAAUACAUCGGAACGUACCCCGUUGUGGGGGAUAACCCACCGAAAGGUGGGCUAAUACCGCAUACGCCCCGAGGGGGAAAGCGGGGGACCUGAGAGGGCCUCGCGCGAUGGGAGCGGCCGAUGUCGGAUUAGCUAGUAGGUUGGGUAAAGGCUGACCUAGGCGACGAUCCGUAGCUGGUCUGAGAGGAUGAUCAGCCACACUGGGACUGAGACACGGCCCAGACUCCUACGGGAGGCAGCAGUGGGGAAUUUUGGACAAUGAGGGCAACCCUGAUCCAGCCAUGCCGCGUGAGUGAAGAAGGCCUUCGGGUUGUAAAGCUCUUUCGGCCGGAACGAAAUCGCAUCUUCUAAUACGGGGUGUGGAUGACGGUACCGGAAGAAGAAGCACCGGCUAACUACGUGCCAGCAGCCGCGGUAAUACGUAGGGUGCGAGCGUUAAUCGGAAUUACUGGGCGUAAAGCGUGCGCAGGCGGCUCUUCAAGUCAGAUGUGAAAGCCCCGGGCUUAACCUGGGAACUGCGUUUGAAACUGGAGGGCUAGAGUGUGGCAGAGGGAGGUGGAAUUCCACGUAGCAGUGAAAUGCGUAGAGAUGUGGAGGAACACCGAUGGCGAAGGCAGCCUCCUGGGCCAACACUGACGCUCAGGCACGAAAGCGUGGGGAGCAAACAGGAUUAGAUACCCUAGUAGUCC
rnacentral:rRNA from 1 species